UACGUUUUACCCGUUUCGACCUCACGCAGGUAGCCUCUGACUUCACUAGACAUCAAUUGCUAACACGUUACACAAUAAUGUUCACCUAACACACACAACAUGCGAUUCAGUCUGUUUUAAUGGAUUCUUUUUAAAAUACCAGUUUUUGUACUGAAGAUGGCCCGAUAGUGGCCGAAACGUAUACUGCUCUUCAAUAAAGAAAAUUUGGAAAAAGAAUAAACUGCAAAAAACAUCCGGCAUUGGCUCUCGAUCCCAAUUAUCAUUAUAUUUUAUUAAUAAUACUUAAAGAAAAAUUAUUAGAGAAGAAAUCUUACUUACCGCGUACAACGGAUACGCGGAUAUCCUUUCCAUAAAACGACUUCUCUCUGUAAGCGUCGGGAUAUGUUUGGUUCUCGCGACUGGCGACAACAGACUCAUCGGAAAGGUCGGCAUCGAGACGAUCAACCUGAACUCCGUUUCCACUGUCAAUCAAGUCAUAUCGAUGCCGUGACCGAUCGAAUUGGUAACACGAGUUUGCGGUGGCGAAUCACUAUAAUCGAUUUCGAUGUCUCUCCGUCGUUUAUCCGUCACACAGUGCAAUUCCUGUCGUCGUAUUCGCCGUUAUGCCGUCGCGCAAAGCAACGCAUUUGCAUAUAUGUAUUGUGAAACGAUAAUGCGGUAAGAUAUAUCAAAAAUAAAUUAUGCGAACUAAAUUCUAUGAAAUUAUAACGUUACGAUUUCUUUCACACUCGUCAGACGUAAAAAAUCGCGUCUUGCACUUUUCAAUCACCAGAAAUGUUCGUGUCAGCUUGAGUAUAAUUAAUUUCUAGUUAUUGUGUUAGUAAAUGUAUUGAAUAAAAUAUGC